CUCUCUCACACGUGCUUCUUGCUCGAGCAUAUAUAUGCUUCACCGAGACAAGUACUAGCAUCGCCUUCAUUGACAGGGUUUGUUUCUAUAUUUUCGUGUAGCACAUGCGCAUAAUCCAGACAAUAACAUGACACGUACCAAAUCAACCAAAUAUUUCACAGUUCUUAAAUGGGGAAAUUAUUAGUAAAUAAAUAUUUCUGGUUACUUUCAUAAAGA